AAACCACCAGUUUUCAUACAAUCACUAAAGUUAAACAAUGUUGAGCCUGGCUAGUACCUAGAUGGGUGACUGCUUAGGAAUACCAGGUGUUGUAA
rnacentral:rRNA from 1 species